UCUAUUUUCUUUGCCUUUUUGAUGUGCUUUGUUUUGUGGGUUGGUGUGCAGGAAUGAUAGGAGGACCACCAUGUUGCCCAAUAGUGACAACCAAAAGUGCAAAAGUUCAUGAACAAUGUCAAGAGAGUCACACAGUUUGUACAGAUAACAAUAUGAAAGGACCAGUCAUUCAGUACAUGAAGAAUGUCAGGAAAAUCCUUCAGACUUAAAGGGCAGCAAAUGCAAAGGUCAAGUAGGCGAUUAGCAAACAGAAAGGGAGGGGGGUUGUUGAGCAGAAGCAUGUUUGACCUCCACAUGGGGAAGUUGUUGAGGAGUUUUAAAGGAGACAACUUGCACAAUUUCAUCACCUUGGACUGCAUGUGGUUUUUUAUGUCCAUAGAAGAGGUCUACAAAGGGAACAUGCUGAAGUGGAUUGACGAAUUGGACGUAUUCUCAAGAAAAUAUGGGUUUAUUCUGAUAGUCCUUCGGUGAGUGAAGAUUUUGUGUCCGUAGGCAUUUGUUUUAUACUUACCAAACACGGAUAUGGGUUGAUAUCGGUUUGCUUUAGACUUAACAUUGAUAAUAUGCAUAAAUUAUGCUGACAGGGGUCAUUGGAGUUUACUGAUUUUGUGCAACUUUGGUGGAGAUGUGAACUUGGAAAUUAAAACUCGAUGCAUGGUGCUGCUUGAUUCACUUGGAUAGGAAUACGAAAUGAGGCUGCAACCUCUG